rnacentral:rRNA from 1 species
GUCUAUGGCCACGCCUCCCUGAACGUGCCUGAUCCCAUCCGAUCUCGGAAGCUAAGCAGGGUCGGGCCUGGUUAGUAUUUGGAUGGGAGACCACCUGGGAAUACCAAGUGCCGUAGGGA